rnacentral:rRNA from 1 species
AACGCGAAGAACCUUACCCAGGCUCGAAAUGUAGAGCGAUGUACUAGAGAUAGUACAGCCCGAAAGGGGCUCUAUAUAGGUGCUGCAUGGCUGUCGUCAGCUCGUGCCGUGAGGUGUUGGGUUAAGUCCCGCAACGAGCGCAACCCUUAUUGUCAGUUGCCAACGCGUAAUGGCGGGGACUCUGGCAAGACUGCCUAGGUUAACUAGGAGGAAGGUGAGGAUGACGUCAAGUCCGCAUGGCCUUUAUGUCUGGGGCUACACACGUGCUACAAUGGUCGGUACAGAAGGCAGCGAAGCCGCAAGGUGGAGCAAAUCCGAAAAACCGAUCUCAGUUCAGAUUGCAGUCUGCAACUCGGCUGCAUGAAGUUGGAAUUGCUAGUAAUGGCGUGUCAGCAACAGCGCCGUGAAUACGUUCCCGGGCCUUGUACACACCGCACUACUA